GGGAACGGAGCGGAAGUGCCACCAUUUCCCUCUACGGGGGCGCUGGCGGCGGAGGCUGGUGGUGCUCCCGCUGCUAAGAAAUCUUCGCGUAGGUUGCUGUUCUCGGGAUAUGCUUAAACAUCUGCACAGGGAUUUUACAGAAAUCCUCUGUGCAAAACCCACAACCUCUGACCAGUACUUUCUCCAGACCAAAUUUAGACUGUCAGCAGAUGUGCUUAGAAGAAAAUGGACAUGUGUGUUGCAUCCUCACCACUAAAAAUAAUCCUUUGAAGCUUGGGUCCUGUGACAUCUAGACCCUUUAGGGUCGCUGGCUUCAGCUCCAUCAUGACGUCCUAACAUAUACUGUGUUGGUGGUGAUAUAUUGACCGUCAAACCACACUGAAGCAUGGAGCUGGUACAUACUGAAUGGAGGAUCAGAGCAGAGUUGAAAGAGCAUAUGGAAAACCACAAAACUUCUACAGCCCUUCUGUCUUCAUUUUGGAAUGAGGUACCUGGUUUUGAACCAGACAUCAGAUAAAUGGGCAUCACAAACAAAUCCAUCAGAAAAAAAAAAAAAAACCAAAAAAAAACCCCCCACAAACGAAAAACAAAUGAAAGAGAAGAAAGAAGGCUGAAGAUAAUCCUGUGUGCUCCAGCACAAAAGCAACUAGAAAGAAGGAUUGAAGUUAAUUUACAUGUAGUACCUACGGUCCUGACCCUGUGGCGGGACUGGCAGAACAGAAUCUGUUGUGAACCGCAGCCAGUUCAGUGUUGUGUCCCGCAGCUUACGUUGAACAACUGAUGGCAGAAUGGCGUAAAGAUAAUUCUUCUAUGCUGACUGUAGGUAUGACUCGAAAGUACACCGUUUCCUUUUGCUGAGGGCUGACCAAUAAUCGGGAUAGAGAUCAUUCAGAAGAAGAGCUUGGACCUUCAUGUAUGCCGACAUCACACUAGUGAGGCAUUUGGCUGUAGUUUUUGCUGCUGUUCUUCCCCUGACAAACAAUUUCUCUGAAAACACAUUAAGAAAUAUCACCUGAGUUCAGGAACCUCAUUAACCAUCCAAUUCCCAGCUCACCUUUACCCUCAAAUCAGUUCUGUGGAACACUGGGUUCUUCACGCUUAAAUUUCCACCAGAGCAUCCCAGCAAAUAAAGAAGCUGUUGGCAUUGUCAGACUUUUGUGCUGAAAGCCAGGGGCUAUGUGGAAGAAGAAAAGAAGCAGUCCUUACAUGGCAAUUAAAAGCACUUAGAAUGGACUUCCCAAAAAGUUUUGCUUGCGUUAUGGUGCAGGUGUUAACUCCAGUGUCCUGAGAGGAAUGUGAAGGUUUCUGUUGCACAAAGGGUGGACAUGUUGAUUUUUUUGUUCUGGUGACCUCUUGUUGAUGUAUUCCGUGUAGUUACAAGUGAAGAGUUUGACUUUUCGAGGCAGAAUCUGUUAAAAUGUACCAAAGCUGACAGUGAACCCUACAGGUGGUUUCUGUACUACAUCUCUCACUUUUAAUACAGCUCUCUAUAUAAAACGGUAAAUGAUUCAAGAAAACCUACUGAUGCUGUACCACUCAUAAUGUUGUAAAAAAAAAAAAAUCAUUAAAUUUAUUUGUGGUUAUUUUUAUAACAAAAUAUGUCUAUUAUCUUGAACUAAUCCAAUGUUGAAGUAAGAAUAUAAGCUAUUGAAAUAUGAUAUUAAAUAAACUUGACUUAAAAUUCA